AUUCGCGGCCUAUCAGCUUGUUGGUGAGGUAACGGCUCACCAAGGCAACGACGGGUAGCCGGCCUGAGAGGGUGACCGGCCACACUGGGACUGAGACACGGCCCAGACUCCUACGGGAGGCAGCAGUGGGGAAUAUUGGACAAUGGGCGAAAGCCUGAUCCAGCAACGCCGCGUGAGGGAUGACGGCCUUCGGGUUGUAAACCUCUUUCAGCGGGGACGAAGCGCAAGUGACGGUACCCGCAGAAGAAGCUCCGGCCAACUACGUGCCAGCAGCCGCGGUAACACGUAGGGGGCGAGCGUUGUCCGGAAUUAUUGGGCGUAAAGGGCUCGUAGGCGGUCUGUCGCGUCGGGAGUGAAAACUCAGGGCUUAACCCUGUUCGUGCUUCCGAUACGGGCAGACUUGAGGCAGGCAGGGGAGAACGGAAUUCCUGGUGUAGCGGUGGAAUGCGCAGAUAUCAGGAGGAACACCGGUGGCGAAGGCGGUUCUCUGGGCCUGUUCUGACGCUGAGGAGCGAAAGCAUGGGGAGCGAACAGGAUUAGAUACCCUGGUAGUCCAUGCCGUAAACGUUGGGUGCUAGGUGUGGGACUCAUUCCACGAGUUCCGUGCCGCAGCUAACGCAUUAAGCGCCCCGCCUGGGGAGUACGGAAU
rnacentral:rRNA from 1 species